rnacentral:rRNA from 1 species
UAGGGAAUCUUCCGCAAUGGACGAAAGUCUGACGGAGCGACGCCGCGUGAGCGAAGAAGGUCUUCGGAUCGUAAAGCCCCGUUGUUAGGGAAGAAGAAGUGCCGUUCGAACAGGGCGGCGCGGUGACGGUACCUAACGAGAAAGCCCCGGCUAACUACGUGCCAGCAGCCGCGGCAAUACGUAGGGGGCGAGCGUUGUCCGGAAUUAUUGGGCGUAAAGCGCGCGCAGGCGGUCCCUUAAGUCUGAUGUGAAAGCCCACGGCUUAACCGUGGAGGGUCAUUGGAAACUGGGGGACUUGAGUGCAGAAGAGGAGAGCGGAAUUCCACGUGUAGCGGUGAAAUGCGUAGAGAUGUGGAGGAACACCAGUGGCGAAGGCGGCUCUCUGGUCUGUAACUGACGCUGGGGCGCGAAAGCGUGGGGAGCAAACAGG